AGUGAACGCUGGCGGCAUGCCUUACACAUGCAAGUCGAACGGAUUGAAGGGGCUUGCUCCUUCAGUUAGUGGCGAACGGGUGAGUAAAGCAUCGGAACGUACCCAUUCGUGGGGGAUAACGUCGCGAAAGUUACGCUAAUACCGCAUACGAUCUGAGGAGGAAAGCGGGGGAUCGCAAGACCAUGCGCGAUUGGAGCGGCUGAUGUCGGAUUAGCUAGUUGGUGAGGUAAAGGCUCACCAAGGCGACGAUCCGUAGCUGGUCUGAGAGGAUGCUCAGCCGUACUGGAACAGAGACACGGUCCAGACUCCUACGGGAGGCAGCAGGGGGGAAUUUUGGACAAUGGAGGAAACCCUGAUCCAGCCAUGCCGGGUGAGUGAAGAAGGCCUGCGGGUUGUAAAGCUCUUUCAGUCGGAAAGAAAAGGCUCCGGAUAAUACCUGGAGUUGAUGACGGUACCGACAGAAGAAGCACCGGCUAACUACGUGCCAGCCGCCGCCGUAA
rnacentral:rRNA from 1 species